UGGGGAAUAUUGGACAAUGGGCGAAAGCCUGAUCCAGCCAUGCCGCGUGUGUGAAGAAGGUCUUCGGAUUGUAAAGCACUUUAAGUUGGGAGGAAGGGCAGUAAGCGAAUACCUUGCUGUUUUGACGUUACCGACAGAAUAAGCACCGGCUAACUCUGUGCCAGCAGCCGCGGUAAUACAGAGGGUGCAAGCGUUAAUCGGAAUUACUGGGCGUAAAGCGCGCGUAGGUGGUUCGUUAAGUUGAAUGUGAAAGCCCCGGGCUCAAACUGGGAACUGCAUCCAAAACUGGCGAGCUAGAGUAGGGCAGAGGGUGGUGGAAUUUCCUGUGUAGCGGUGAAAUGCGUAGAUAUAGGAAGGAACACCAGUGGCGAAGGCGACCACCUGGGCUCAUACUGACACUGAGGUGCGAAAGCGUGGGGAGCAAACAGG
rnacentral:rRNA from 1 species